rnacentral:rRNA from 1 species
GUGAACGCUGGCGGUAGGCCUAACACAUGCAAGUCGAACGGCAGCACAGUAAGAGCUUGCUCUUACGGGUGGCGAGUGGCGGACGGGUGAGGAAUACAUCGGAAUCUACUUUUUCGUGGGGGAUAACGUAGGGAAACUUACGCUAAUACCGCAUACGACCUACGGGUGAAAGCAGGGGAUCUUCGGACCUUGCGCGAUUGAAUGAGCCGAUGUCGGAUUAGCAAGUUGGCGGGGUAAAGGCCCACCAAGGCGACGAUCCGUAGCUGGUCUGAGAGGAUGAUCAGCCACACUGGAACUGAGACACGGUCCAGACUCCUACGGGAGGCAGCAGUGGGGAAUAUUGGACAAUGGGCGCAAGCCUGAUCCAGCCAUACCGCGUGGGUGAAGAAGGCCUUCGGGUUGUAAAGCCCUUUUGUUGGGAAAGAAAAGCAGCAGGUUAAUACCCCGCUGUUCUGACGGUACCCAAAGAACAAGCACCGGCUAACUUCGUG